UACGAAGGGGACUAGCGUUGUUCGGAUUUACUGGGCGUAAAGCGCGCGUAGGCGGAUCGCUAAGUCAGGGGUGAAAUCCCAGGGCUCAACCCUGGAACUGCCUUUGAUACUGACGGUCUGGAGAUCGGGAGAGGUUGGUGGAAUUCCGAGUGUAGAGGUGAAAUUCGUAGAUAUUCGGAGGAACGCCAGAAGCGAAGGCGGCCAACUGGCCCGAUACUGACGCUGAGGCGCGAAAGCGUGGGGAGCAAACAGG
rnacentral:rRNA from 1 species